AUUUAAGCUUCCUUUAGAAGAUGAUGAACUGUUUUCCUUUUAUUUCAACCUGGUUAAAACAGAAAAUUUCUGUGGGUUCAUUGUUAAUUACCACACCUAAGACACAACUUAUAACCAUUAGCCUAUCCUCCCGUUACAGGACUCCUUCAGUGUUGCUUCACCAGCCAGAAAUCUCUACGGCCAUCGUCAUCUCUGCCCAAGCCUUGCUUAGGGCCUGCUGGGCUCACCCUGCCCACUUGGCCCAGCAGGCUGCACUUGGCUCAUGCCUCGGCCCGAAUACUGCACCUGCCAUGGCUCCAUGCUUAGCCCACAGCUGGACCAAGCAUACUGCUAGUGACUUCUGCCUUGGGCACCAGCAUCUAGACAAACAGAACGCAGUGGCAUCCGAAAACUUGGAGAUGACAGCAAUUGCGAAACCCCAAGGGGUGUUACAGCUCUUACCUGAGGAGUCCCAAGAGUUGGACUCUUUUCGUCCAC
rnacentral:lncRNA from 10 species